rnacentral:rRNA from 1 species
UACGUAGGGGGCAAGCGUUGUCCGGAAUCAUUGGGCGUAAAGCGCGUGUAGGCGGCCAGAAAAGUCCGCUGUGAAAACUCGAGGCUCAACCUCGAGCUGUCGGUGGAAACUUUCUGGCUAGAGUCCGGAAGAGGAGAAUGGAAUUCCUGGUGUAGCGGUGAAAUGCGCAGAUAUCAGGAGGAACACCAAUGGCGAAGGCAGCUCGCUGGGACGGUACUGACGCUGAGACGCGAAAGCGUGGGGAGCAAACAGG